rnacentral:rRNA from 1 species
GUCGUCAGCUCGUGUCGUGAGAUGUUGGGUUAAGUCCCGCAACGAGCGCAACCCUUGUCUUUAGUUGCCAUCAUUCAGUUGGGCACUCUAAAGAGACUGCCGGUGUCAAACCGGAGGAAGGUGGGGAUGACGUCAAGUCCUCAUGGCCUUUAUGACCAGGGCUACACACGUACUACAAUGGCCGGUACAAAGGGCAGCCACUUAGCGAUAAGGAGCCAAUCCCGUAAAGCCGGUCUCAGUCCGGAUUGGAGUCUGCAACUCGACUCCAUGAAGUUGGAAUCGCUAGUAAUCGCAGAUCAGCACGCUGCGGUGAAUACGUUCCCGGGCCUU